AGGAUGAACGCUGGCGGCGUGCUUAACACAUGCAAGUCGAACGAUGAAGGCUGGAGCUUGCUCUGGCUGGAUUAGUGGCGAACGGGUGAGUAACACGUGAGUAACCUGCCCCAGACUCUGGGAUAAGCGCUGGAAACGGCGUCUAAUACCGGAUACGAGCUUCCACCGCAUGGUGAGGAGCUGGAAAGAAUUUCGGUCUGGGAUGGACUCGCGGCCUAUCAGCUUGUUGGUGAGGUAAUGGCUCACCAAGGCGACGACGGGUAGCCGGCCUGAGAGGGUGACCGGCCACACUGGACUGAGACACGGCCCAGACUCCUACGGGAGCAGCAGUGGGGAAUA
rnacentral:rRNA from 1 species